GUGCAACCGCAGAGUGAGAAGGGGAGUUUUCCAAAUUAAUUUUCGUUCUAAACAAAAGUAUGUUCGUUCACUAUUUUGUCAGUUACCGUUGUCGACAUCAUCCAUAUCACGUUAUUUCUCUCGUCAUCCCGAUCAAAACUCGACCGACCGCAUCUCCACCGUCGCCAUCGUUCGUGGGAGUGAAUAGAGGGAAUUUUCGGGUUUCUAAGAAAUCGAGUCUCCGCUGUAAAGCACCGCAAACCAACCACGGUUACCUAAUCUCUCCCGAGCGCUCGCCAGUGGAUUAUAUUAAUCAUGACGGUUAUGACGGUUCGAUUAAAGUUACACAUUCUUGUGAUCGAUAGAAUCGUCUAGACAUUGGAGGAUCGACUGGAGACAUUUUAUUAUUUUAUAUAUAGUAUGGCC